rnacentral:rRNA from 1 species
AGAUUGAACGCUGGCGGCAGGCCUAACACAUGCAAGUCGAGCGGUAGAGAGGUGCUUGCACCUCUUGAGAGCGGCGGACGGGUGAGCAAUGCCUAGGAAUCUGCCUAGUGGUGGGGGAUAACGUUCGGAAACGGACGCUAAUACCGCAUACGUCCUACGGGAGAAAGCGGGGGACCUUCGGGCCUCGCGCCAUUAGAUGAGCCUAGGUCGGAUUAGCUAGUUGGUGAGGUAAUGGCUCACCAAGGCGACGAUCCGUAACUGGUCUGAGAGGAUGAUCAGUCACACUGGAACUGAGACACGGUCCAGACUCCUACGGGAGGCAGCAGUGGGGAAUAGUUGGACAAUGGGACGAAAAGCCUAGAUCCAGCCAUGCCGCGUGUGUAGAAGAAGGUCUUCGGAUUAGUAAAGCUACUUUAAGUUGGUAGGAAAGGUUUAGUAAACUAAGUACGUUAGACUAACUUUACGACGUUAACGACAAGAAUAAGCACCGGAUAACUUCGC